UUUUUAUGGAAUAUUUAAAUCUUUUCUCUUUCUCUCUCUUCUCUCUAGCAAAGGUCUUCCGAGGAGGUUCUUAGAUUGAGAAUUUCAGAGGUUGUGCUCUUGGAUUAUGUCACCUGUUGCGUGGUAGUUGAAGUUGAUGAGGCUAACUAUGGGAAGAUAGCAACGAAAGUAUAGAUCUUUUUGGGACUGUAAACUUAUUGCAGAAGAAAGAACCCUUUUCAAAGAAGGAUUUGAGAAACCAUUAUAUAUGAGAAUAAAGUAGCUGAUAAAUGGUAAAAAAGAGAGUGGAAGGAAGGUUCUGAUGAUAGUGUAGGUUAGCCAGAAAAGCUAGUUUUUUUUCUCAAAGAGAAAUGGG